rnacentral:rRNA from 1 species
UUGGAGGGCAAGUCUGGUGCCAGCAGCCGCGGUAAUUCCAGCUCCAAUAGCGUAUAUUAAAGUUGUUGCAGUUAAAAAGCUCGUAGUUGAAUUUCGGGGUCAGUAGGUUGGUCAUGCCACUGGUAUGUACUGGUCUCACUGAUUCCUCCUUCCUGAUGAGCCGUAAUGCCAUUAAUUUGGUGUUGCGAGGAAUCUGGACUGUUACUUUGAAAAAAUUAGAGUGUUUAAAGCAAGCUAACGCUUGAAUACAUUAGCAUGGAAUAAUGAAAUAGGACGUUCGAUCCUGUUUUGUUGGUCUCUAGGAUUGACGUAAUGAUUAAUAGGGAUAGUUGGGGGCAUUAGUAUUCAAUUGUCAGAGGUGAGAUUCUUGGAUUUAUUGAAGACUAACUACUGCGAAAGCAUUUGCCAAGGAUGUUUUCAUUAAUCAAGAACGAAAGUAGGGGAUCGAAGACGAUCAGAUACCGUCGUAGUCUUAACCAUAAACUAUGCCGACUAGGGAUCGGAUGAUGUUAAUUUUUUAAUGACUCAUUUGGCGCCUUACGGGAAACCAAAGUGUUUGGGUUC